rnacentral:tRNA from 1 species
GCCUUCGUUGUGUAGUGGUCAGCACGCUCGUCGCGUGCUCGAGAGGUCCGUGGUUCAAAUCCCAGGGAGGGCA